rnacentral:rRNA from 1 species
GAGUUUGAUCGUGGCUCAGGAUGAACGCUGGCGGCGUGCUUAACACAUGCAAGUCGAACGAUGAUCCCCAGCUUGCUGGGGGGAUUAGUGGCGAACGGGUGAGUAACACGUGAGUAACCUGCCCCCGACUCUGGGAUAAGCCCGGGAAGCUGGGUCUAAUACCGGAUAUUCACCGUCCCUCGCAUGGGGGGUGGUGGAAAGGUUUUUUCCGGUCGGGGAUGGACUCGCGGCCUAUCAGCUUGUUGGUGGGGUAGUGGCCCACCAAGGCGACGACGGGUAGCCGGCCUGAGAGGGUGACCGGCCACACUGGGACUGAGACACGGCCCAGACUCCUACGGGAGGCAGCAGUGGGGAAUAUUGCACAAUGGGCGCAAGCCUGAUGCAGCGACGCCGCGUGAGGGAUGACGGCC